AGUGAACGCUGGCGGUAGGCCUAACACAUGCAAGUCGAACGGCAGCACAGUAAGAGCUUGCUCUUACGGGUGGCGAGUGGCGGACGGGUGAGGAAUACAUCGGAAUCUACUUUUUCGUGGGGGAUAACGUAGGGAAACUUACGCUAAUACCGCAUACGACCUACGGGUGAAAGCAGGGGAUCUUCGGACCUUGCGCGAUUGAAUGAGCCGAUGUCGGAUUAGCUAGUUGGCGGGGUAAAGGCCCACCAAGGCGACGAUCCGUAGCUGGUCUGAGAGGAUGAUCCGCCACACUUGAACUUAAGCACGGUCCAAGCUCCUACGGGAGGCACCAGGUGGGAAAAUUGGGCCAAUGGGGGCAAGCCGGACCCGCCAAUACGGGGUGGGGAAGAAAGCCCUUCGGGUGGUAAAGCCUUUUUUUGGGGAAAAAAAGCAGCAGGUUAAUACCCCGCUGUUCUGACGGUACCCAAAGAAUAAGCACCGGCUAACUUCGUG
rnacentral:rRNA from 1 species